GUGUGUGUUCUCAGGGAGAGGACGGCCAGCAGGGAACUAAAGGGUUCCCCGGGACGAGAGGGAACCGAGGGCGAGGGGGGAACUCAGGCGGGUCGGGAGAACCAGGGACACCUGGAGAGCCGGGACAUCCAGGACACCGGGGUACCAGGGGUCCUCCAGGACUCGGAGACAAGACUGUGAGUCCA